rnacentral:rRNA from 1 species
AUUGGACGCUGGCGGCAUGCCUUACACAUGCAAGUCGAACGGCAGCACAGGUGCUUGCACCUGGUGGCGAGUGGCGAACGGGUGAGUAAUACAUCGGAACGUACCUUAUCGUGGGGGAUAACGCAGCGAAAGCUGUGCUAAUACCGCAUACGCCCUGAGGGGGAAAGCGGGGGAUCGCAAGACCUCGCGCGAUUAGAGCGGCCGAUGCCUGAUUAGCUAGUUGGUGGGGUAAAAGCCCACCAAGGCGACGAUCAGUAGCUGGUCUGAGAGGACGAUCAGCCACACUGGGACUGAGACACGGCCCAGACUCCUACGGGAGGCAGCAGUGGGGAAUUUUGGACAAUGGGGGCAACCCUGAUCCAGCAAUGCCGCGUGAGUGAAGAAGGCCUUCGGGUUGUAAAGCUCUUUUGUCAGGGAAGAAACACCGGCUCUAACACAGUCCGGGAAUGACGGUACCUGAAGAAUAAGCACCGGCUAACUACGUGCCAGCAGCCGCGGUAA